rnacentral:lncRNA from 1 species
CGUAAUAAUGCUAUUGUGGUUAAAAUACAGGGACCUAUUUUUAGAUAUACAUGUUGAAAUAUUUAUAAAUACAUGCAUAUUAUACGAUGCAUGAAUUUGCUUCAAAAUAAUCCAGGAAGUAAGGAAUGAGUGAUUGGAGGGUAUAGAUGAAAGCAGAUUGACCAUAAAUUGAUAAAAGUUGAAUAGUUGGGUAUUAUAUCCAAAGAAAAUGAAAUCACUAUCUUAAAGAGAUAGCUGCACCCCCACGUUCACUGCAACAUCAUUUACAAUAGCCAAGAUAUGGAAACAACCCAGAUGUCCAUUAACAGACGAAUGGAUAAAGAAACUGUGGUGUGUAUAUAUGUAUAUAUAUAUAUUCCACAAAAAAGAAGGAAACCCUGCCAUUUGUGACAACAUGGAUGAACCUUGAGGACAUUAUGCUAAGUGAAAUAGACAGAGAAAGACAAAUACUGUAUGCUCUCACUUAUAUAUUCCUGUUAGUGCUGUCAAGUCAAUGCCGAUUCCUAGUGACGCUGUGUACAGCAGAGUGGAACCCUGUCCGGUGUUUUUGAGCCUUUCACCUUCCAGUGCUGUAUCAGACAACGCUCUGCUGCUAUUCACAGCGUUUUCAUGGUCAAUUUUUUCAGAAGUGGGUGGCCAGGUCCUUCUUCCUCGUUUGUCUUAGUCUGGAAGCUCCACUGAAACCUGUCCACCAUGGGUGACCCUGCUGGUAUUUAAAAUCCCAGUGGCAUAGCUUUGAGCAUCCCAGCAACACACAGCUGCCACAGUAUGACAACCGACAGAUGGGUGGUGUGGCUCCCUGACAGGAAAACGAACCCAGGCUACGGUGUUCUCCUAACCGCUAGACCACCAGGGCUGGCUUAUAUAUGAAAUCUAAAAAAACAAACUCAUAGAAACAGAUUAUAGGUUGGUGGCUGCCAAGAGCUGGAGAAUGAGGGAAAUGAGGGAUCGUAGUCAAAAGGUACAAACUGUCAGCUAUGAGUAGGUUCCGGGGAACUAAUGUACAGCAUGGGGACUGUCGUGAACAAUAUUAUUGUAUUGUAUAUUUGAAAAUUGCUGAGAGAGUAGAUCUUAGAAGUUCUUACCACCAAAAAACAGUAAUUAUGUAACUAUGUGAGGUGACGAAUGUGUUAACUAACCUUAUUGUGGCAAUCAUUUCACAAUAUAUUACACAAUGUUUGAUGUCAAAUAUAUCUCAACAUAGCUGGAAAAAUAUGAUGUCAAUUCUCCUCCCAUUCAAAAAGUCAAAUAGUUGAACCUCUACAUAUGAUGAGCAUGUAGAGGUUCAUUCUAAUUUGUAUAUAUUUGAAGUUUUCCAUAAUAGAAGAUUUAAAAAAGAAAGGUGACUAUCUAAAAUAUAUUUUAGUUAACAUUACUAUAAGCAGAAAACCAAAAGAAAAUGCAGCAAAAAAUACAUACAGGAGAACGUGCCGAAACAGAAAAUCCAACUCAUUCAGUAAUAUUUGCGGGUUGAGGGGAAUUCUGAGCAAGGUUUGGGCUGAGGUAUUUCGUUGUUAAAAUGAGUUUUCUAGAACAGAGGAUCCUCAAGAAGCAGGGCAGGAUAAUUGCUACAAAACCAAUAUAUUUGAAUUAGGUGCUAAUAGAGACAGAGAGAAAGAGAUUAAGAUUAGCUAAAAGGUUAAAAGGAAUAGUCUCCUUCUUACUUUAUUUCACAGACCAAAUACUAAGUCACACGUUUUACAGGAGCACAGAAAACUUUGUACUGAAGGCAAUGAGUGGAGGAGACUAGAGGGUAAAUAAUUCAAAAAUCACUUCUAUAGUAUUCAAAACAGCAUAUAUUAGCCUUUUCUCCUAAAUACUGAGUGUUUAGACUAAGCUGUGUAUUAAUCUCUUUCAGCAUUCAUAAAUAUUUUUUCACUAAUUUCUUUUAGAAGGAUGUCCAUUUUGCGUCUGGUUACUCAAACCAUUGUCAAUACUCUGCCUAUUUUUUCACUAGUUUUGUUCAAUUGGCACCAAACUAUGUUGUUCGUGGCCAAAUAAUAUAAGACAUCUUUGUUACUAAUUCAAUCUGAGUGAAACCUUUACCCUUUUCUUGGCCCAUCCCUAGUCUUGAAUCCGGUGGUGUGUAUUUGUUUGGAGUAUAGUCAAAUUGAACCCACUAUUCUUCCAUCGAUAAUUGAACUACGCUCCUAAGAUGCAUGCUGUUUAACACGGAAGGAAUAUAACACAGCUUGGCCCUUGUGAAGCGUUAUGAAGAGCCGCAGUCAAGUGGAGACUUCUUUUAUUCUGGUUGGAGUAUUCUGUUGCUAUCUUCACCUUGAGCUAGGCCGACUGUGAAUAGCUACAUAAAAUUCCUUUAUCUUUGUUACUUCAAUGUUAAGAGGCCUUAUUAACAGAAAGGCAUUAAAACUGGAUUGAGUCUGUAGCUAAACAUUUAAUUUUGAUGCUUAUAAUAACUUAAACUAAGAAGACAAUAGCUACCAUUUACCGACUAUGUUUUUUAACCAAACACUGAGCUGAGGGUUUUACACACAGCACUACAUUUAUAUACUUUUUCAUUAUUUAUUGGCAUUCCAAGAGAUCCCCCAGCCAGUUCUCCAACCCAGCCCACCACUCCUUCCUCCAGACUGAAAUGGCAGUGAGCAAAGUUAUUGCAGCUUUUAAAUAUGUGUCCUGCUGUGGGCUGGAGCCAGCUCAUACUGAUUCAGGAGACGACUACAUGCAUCUUUCCCCAAUCCCACGUUAAGUGACAUCAUAUUAGUAGUUUAAAAUGGCCAUGGUGGGAGAAUUUACACUACAGAAAUUAGUAAAUGUCUUUUUUUCCCCCUCCAGAGAGCCAUUUGUUAGACACUUACCAAUACACCACUUUAUGUAUCCCUCUUUCAUUUUCCAAGAAGCAAAUUUGUCAUUGGGAGGAUCCAACAUGGCCCGGUUAUUGCUACUACAGGAAACUGACUAACUUUGAGCAAAUAAGUGGAGAAAGGAAAGAGAAACCAGCCUCAGUAGUGUUUCACCCGCCAGCCAUUCCCCAAGUUGUUUCAUUUUUUGAAAAGAACCAGGUAAGAAAGCUAGGGUCCUUCAGGCAUUCUUUCAAUAACAUGGUAGGAGGAGAAACUGGGGCAAGACUCUACUUCAGGGGUCAGCAAACCAUGGCCUGUGUGCUAAUGUGUGUGAUUUCCUGUUUUUAUAAGUACAUUUUAUUGGAACACAGCCACACCCACUUGUUUAUGUGUUGUCUACGGCAGCUUUCACACCUCAGCGGAAGCGCUGAGUAGCUGUGACACAGACUGUAUGGCCCACAAAGCCAAAAAUAUUGACUCUCUGGCCUUUUACAGAAAAUGUCCUCUAUGAAUGACUUGGGUUGUGAUGUGUUUGGUACACGGAUGAUGCUUUAUUCUGGGUUUAAUUCAUGCAUGGAAGAGGUAGAAAUAAGCUCAAUUUCCUUGUUUUCCCUCAGUCUGAGGAAGAGAGUCAUAGAAAUACAAGCUACGUCCCUAAAUUUUAUUGUAUCCCCUCAUGCAAUUUCAUCACGUAGGGUAAGAUUUCAUUUGUUAUGUCAGGAACGCUCAUUACUGGUCUCACACACUUUGGGAUCCCAGACCCUCUACCUGGAUCUCUUUAUUCAAUCAUUAAUUCAUUUAUUCAUUCAACAGAUAUUUACCAGAGGCUACUAGGGUCUAGCCUACUAGGUUCUAGACACUAGAGGUAUAUUUAUGGAGAAUCAAAGCUCCUGUCCACAUGGAGCUUACAUUUUAGUGGGAAAGGCACAUACUUGUUUGCUUGUUAUCUAAUAUCAUAUCAAGAAGUGAUAAGCACUAUAAAGAAACAAAGGAAGAAAGAUGUUGAACAACGAACGAGGUGCUUUUUAAGAUGUUUAGGGAAAGUAUCUCUAAGAGGUGACAUUUGAGCAGAGAGAUCAGAAUAAAGUAAAGGCAUGAGCCAUGCGUUCCCGGCAGAGGACAGCAAAGGCAAGGCUCUCCAGUGGGCAUGUGCUCAGCUGGCUGAGGAAAGAAGAGGCCGAAAGUGAUGACGUCCCCAAAGAAGGCAGGGGCAAGGUCAUACAGGGCCUUGUAAGCACAAUAAGGAUUUUGCAUGUUAUUCUAAUCACAUGGAAAACCACUGGGAAGUUGUGAGGACGGUACUGACUUCAAGUGAUUUGCAUUUCAGAUUAACACCCUAUCUCCUACGAAUAGUAGAGACUAUGUAUUAAGAGAGAAGAAGAAAGUUAUGAAGCUACUGCAAUAAUGCAGGCAAGAGACGGCCUACAUGUGUAGGAUUCGGGGGUUACUGGGAGCCUUGAGACAACAGUUGAUAGGAUUUUGGAUUGAAAAUACUUCUUGACUUCUUGAGUCUUCUUUAUAACUGAGCGCUAAUUUAGUUCUUCCUAUAUGGAAUAGAGAGUGGGGAAGAAUUCACACAUUCACUCAACAAACACAUUGACCAUCAAUAAGAGAACAGGUGCUAUGUAUUUGAGAUUAGAGGUUAAAAGAAGCUCAGUUUAGUGGAAAAUAAUGAGUGACAACUGGGUUCCUGGCAUAUCAGCUCCCUCUCUUACUUUACACAAACUCCCCUCACCCUGACCUCGACCUCCUCCACUCAGUUCUCUUCAUCUAUGAGACACCUCUGAGCCCAUGGCUGCUCACUCAGGCCAUCCAAGGCUGCUGCCAUUCAAGAUGCUCUUGUCAUCUAGAGUUUGAGAAUGGAAGGAAUAGAUUAAAAGAGAAUACAGUCUCUGCAGUGUACACACACACACACACACACACACACACAAAUACACUUCCUAGUUCCAAUGUACAAUUGUCGAAUCUUCUGUCUUUCCUUUUCCAAAUUUGAUCUGUCUCUGUUGACAUAGUUAUGUGAUUCUCCAGCCAAUUAAGCUAUGGAAUUUCUUUAAUUCAUAUUUUCGUUAGGGUGAUCUCAACUUUCCCUUCUUCUUUUCUCAUCCUUUCCCAUUCACCUUUAGGUGAAACACACUAAAAUUGUCAGACAGUCUUCAGAAAGUCUUAUCCUUGAAAGUCUUCCCUAUUGUUUGACCUAGAAAGACAUACCCUCUUGUAUUAACCCUACAGCUCUCUGUGUUGCCAUGGGUAUUGUGAAUUCAAUAUCUGUUCCAAAAGUUAUGCCUCUUUCUUUGUCUUAAACAAAGGGAAGAUCUUUGCUGGUUUUCCAAUCUAGCAAGAUUCAAGCCCUGAGUGAACAUUUGGGCAUUUUAUUUUAGCAGACUGGUGGCGUUAUUCCUUGUAAGGUGGACCUGCUUGUGACUCCAAAGGAACCCUUCAACAUCAGCUAAAAUCUAGGGUUUAUAAAAAGGAGAGGGAGGGGCGUGAAUCAACUGUCAGCCAGUUCUGAAAGCUGAGAAUAAGUGUAUCAAGCUAAUAUUCCUGAGAACAGGCUUUUUGAAAUCUAAAUACUGUGGAAUCCAAAUUGCAACACAAGACAAUUUGAUGUGACAUAAAAAUUAUUAAAGAAGCAGGGAGAUGAUAAUGAC